GUGGGCAUCAAGGGGGCUGUGAUGUGUAGUCUAUUGUUCAUAUCACAGCCCGCUUUGAUGAGCUAUG
rfam:Lingula anatina scaffold806, whole genome shotgun sequence.